AAAAUAAGGUUAUUUGAAUUAUCUGCCACCAAUUAUUGUGUUCAAUAAGUCUGUUUAUGCUAUCUUUUCACUCUUCUGCAGAAAUUUGUUGAGCCAACUAAGAUACAUAAAUGGGCUGUGGUGAACUUCUUUGCUCGGUGUGACAUGCGUGGGCUUAUAAGAGACCUGACUAGAUUAGCUGAAAUGAAAGGACUUCUCACCGAACAACCUUUUGACGUGUUUGAGGAAAGCCCCCAAUUCAAAAGAGCCCCUCCUGCUGUUAGAGUGGAUAAAAUGUUUGAGGAGAUACAGGCUAAACUACCUGGGGUGCCGCUCUUCCUCAAAAGACUAAAGUAUAUCCUUAUCAACCCCUGAUGCGCAUUCCUAAUUUGAACGUCAGCAUGCCGAGUUAUUAAGCUGUUUAGUUAUCCUGUGCAGCAAAAGCAGCAUGGCUCUGUCACUCUUUUAGAGAUGGGAUACUCAAUCCAAUUGGAGACAGGGUUUGGCAAUCAAAAUUGGUUAUGACAAAAGCCCCUGCAUUUCAGUUGCCAACUCCCUUAUCGCAUUCUAUUUUCAGUGUGGACACAGUGAGGAUGCCGAGGCUAUUUUUAUUGGAGCAAUGACUCUCCAUGAUGUUGUUUUUUGGAACACGAUGAUUGAUGGUUAUGCCUCAAACGGAAUGAUUCUGGAAGCUUUUGAUAUUCUGCAUGAAAUGCAGUUAAUAGCGUCCAUCCAGCCUAAUUCAGUGACUCUUCUUACUCUAAUUUCGAUUUGUGCAGAUGCGAUGCUACUGACAGAGGGGAAAACACUUUAUGACUACAAUACUCACAGAGGGAUGGGACUUGAUCCUCGGGUGACUAACAGUCUUGUGGAUAUGCAUAUGCGAUGUGGUGCUGUGAGGAAAGCUGAGAUUUGCUUGAUUCCACUGCAGAGAGAGACUUGAUCUCAUGGAACACAAUGAUCUCUGGGUAUUCCCAGAAUGACCUAUCGGAGAAAGCCCAAAGUUUAUUCAAAGAAAUGCUGCUAUUGUGCUCAGGAUGCAGCUUACCUACUCUACUAGCCAUUCUUCCUUCCUGUAAUUCCCCUGAAUACCUCAGAUUUGGUGAAUCAAUCCACAGUCUGCAGUUGAAACCUGGAUUUUCACACAGCAUUUUUGCUUUAUAUUCAGUCAUGUACAUGUAUGUUGUUAGUGGAGAUAUUAAAGCAGCAUGCAAGUUAUUGACAACACAUUCAGUUCACGAAGAUCUCACUUGUUGGAACAAGUGCAGGCUGCUCAAAAAGUGGCUUCUUUUGGGAAGCUUUAGUGAUAAACAUCAGGUCUCUUUUGAUUCCAUCACACUUAUCAAUGUUUUAUCGGCUUGUAGAAAUCGUCGGCUGUUUCUUGAGGGGAGAUUGAUCCAUGGGCUUGCUCUCAAAACUCCAUUAGGAUCAGACACCCGUGUGUGUAAUGCAAUUAUUACUAUGUAUGGACAAUGCGCAGAUGUUGCCAGUG